CACCGGCGGAUGCGACCGUUAUCCGGAUUUAUUGGGCUUAACGGGCGCGUAGGCGGUUGGGCAAGCGUCGGGUAAAUGUCCUCGGACCAACAGUGGCAGUGCCUUCGGCACUGCCCGACUGGAAUCCUCCUGCCGUGGGAGGUACUCGUGGGGUAGCGGUCAAAUGCAUAGAGAUCCCUCGGAACACCGAUUGCGAAGGCAUCUCACGAAGGGGCUAUUGACGCUGAGGCACGAAAGCGUGGGGAUCAAACAGGAUUAGAGACCCUGGUAGUCCACGCAGUAAACGAUGAUGACUAACCGUCGGUCAAGACUGAUCGGUGGCCAAGCGAAAGCGAUAAGUCAGCCACCUGGGGAGUACGACCGCAAGGUUGAAACUCAAAGGAAUUGACGGGG
rnacentral:rRNA from 1 species